GGGAAACCAUUCCGAGGUUGAGUCCUCAGUUUACCCGUCCCUAAGCCGUGAGAGGUGCUGCUCAGAGGGGUCUUGCUCCUGGCGUUCACGCUGCACUUUCAAAGACGGCAGAGUUGUUGCUCUUUUCCUGUUUACCGAGUCGGAAUUUUAAGAAUCACUGAAAAGCUGCCUUUCUUCUCCAUCCAAAAGUUGAAAGAAACUCAAGCCCGGUUUGUCUGUGAAAAUUGAAAAUCGUCCUCUAAGUUUCACAUUGUGUGUUGACUGUUUGCGUCGACGAAUUUGAAAACAAAGGUCAGAGGCAUUCUUUGUAACUUACUGUAGACAUUUCAAAAGAACAAUCUGGCGAAUGCCGAGAAGUUACAGAAAUAGAUUGUGUGGUCACUGGCUGAUUAAAAUGGAAAAGCCAAAGGUUUUCCGAGAGGGAACAAAAGGAGGUGAGGAGUCUAGACUGGCCACUCAGAGGAGUGUUUGUGUGUCACCGAGGAGUGACUGGCAGUUUGGGGGGCUCGCCUCGGCCCUGUCUAACUGGUCAUCAUUCUGGGGUGUGGAUGCCCAGGAUCUUUAUUGGCACAGCUGGCUCUGAACGAAGGCUUUUCCCAGCAGGGCCAGAGAGUCGCCUGGGGCAGCUGCUCUGUGCGAGUCCGCCUCUGUGGAAACAGUCUGAGUGGGUCAUGCCAGCGAGGGUGUGUGUCCCUGGGCCUGACAUCCCGUGUUGCUGGGCAACUCAGUGUGUACGGGUGUGUCCCCUUAGCACUCUCUCUCCUGCUAGUCCAUGGGCACAGCCUGAACGGCAGGCGUGACCGUCCCCAUGUGAUCAGGUCUGUGACAGCCCCUGUUCUCUGGGCUCAAUGAUGACAGGCACAAAAGUACCCAAGCGGUGUAUGCCUGGGGUUCUCCCAAGUGCUCCCUUGGGAGGUUGUGGCUGAAACUGGAAGUUUCCAUCUGGUCGCGUGUGUGCAGACCCCUCUGGGUCUGGGCAGUGGACUGUCAAGGCGCCAGCAGGACGUGCUCGUGCCUGAGGGUCUGUAGUGGAGCUGGUAUCUCCAGGCCCGGCUGUCCCUCUUUGGGGGCUGGCCUUGGGCAUCGCAGAAUCUUGCAGGAGUGAUGACUCCUGCCAGACGCUUCUCAUCAUCCUCGCAGGAACCUUCUGAAUUCACUAUUUGGAACCAGCCCACAGUCACUGCGCCACGGGCAGCCAUCCUUCUAGGCAGAAAGCAAAUGUAACAAGGCAGAUGUGUGAGUGCCUAAAAUUGCUUAGAAAGAAAAUUUUCAGAGAAAGAAAAAAAGACUUUAAAAAUAUUUUCAACAAUGAAAACAACAUCUUGGAAGUAGAGAACCUUCUAGGGUGAUUCCUUUAGUGUUCUCUUCUCUUUUGGUCUUGAAGAGCUCUACUUUACUAUCGUCGAGCUGUGUGUCUCUGGGCGUGUCCCCCUCUGGGCUGUGCACAAACGGGCUCUAGGUGUGUCCCCGGCUCCAAGCAGCUCGGCCAGCAAAGCGUUUCUCCACUGCAGGGAAUUUCCAGGAGGCAGAUCCUGCCUCAGCUGCGGUGCCUUUCCCGAAUGGACGGUCCAGGACGGCAGGGACCUGGUCUGGCUCACGCUGCAUCCAGUGCCUAGAGAAACAGGCUUCAUUAACUGACCACCCGCUUUGUGCCAGGCGCUGUCUUAAAUGCUUUAAACGCAUCAUCUGAUCUGAUCCUCACCAUAGUCCUACAAGGAUUUUGACCCAAGUAGGAGAAUGAUGCUCGGAGAAGCUGAGAAUCUUGCCCAAGGACAUAUAAUUUGACCCUCGCAGUCUGCACGUACUCUUAACUGCCAUACCGUAGACUUGGCCGUGAGAAUGUGCCCUUUCCACCGGCCCUGCACAUCCUCUGCUGGGGAACCACCCCCCUUAUUCGGCCCUUGCUUGCUGAGCUCCCUGUGCCAGCCUUAGGAAUGCUGAACCCCUGCCGCCCCACCCCUACCACCCUGGCCUUUGGAGGGGGCGUGGAGGUGCACUCAUGCUUGGGGGAUCCAGAAUAUCCCACUGUGAAGAGGGUUGUUUUUCUCUUGAACGCCCUUUAUCUGAAAUCAGGGCCUCCCAAAAGAAUUCGACUGUCGUAAGUCCCCUCCCCAGGAGUUUUGCAACCAGAGAAGGUUGACUCCUGUCACCAGAGAGAAAUCUGCACUGCGAUAAGAAAACUAUGAGAUCACCCAUCUCUUCUCCUAAGGGCCCAUUUAUCUUUCCAAAAAUUGUUUGUUUUUCUGUAAGUUCUCCUCUCCCCCUCCCCUUCCCCUAUGAAGAUGGGCUGUAAGCUCCAAAUUCUAACUACCUCCUUGAGUCACACUUUUCCGUGAACCCCUAGGCACGUAUGUGAACUAAAAAUCCAUCUUUUCUCUUACUGAUCUCUAUUUUGCCAGUUUAAUUUGCAGGCUCCCAAGUAGUGAACCUAAGAGGGUGGAGAAAAGGUUUUCCUCCUAGACAACGCCAAGUUCGAUCAGGAGGGAGAAACGCUGGUGGUACCAUCCUUCAGAGGGGAGGGGACCUGCUGACCCCUGACCGGUUGUUGGUGGCCAGGAUGGAUUUGUGCUCAUUUUUCUUCUGCCCAUCACUGUGCAUCCUAGGACACUACAAUCUCUGCAACUGAGUUUCUUUCACACAAAGCGAACAUAUACUGGAAGCUGCUCCCUCAGCCUUCUCAACAUGCUUCCGGCUGAAGGAAAGGAGACACCAGCAAGGCCACUGCCCCAGGCAGUAGGUUGGCUGGCCUGAGAGGGGAAGUGGGCACUUAGUCUGGGGAAUUCGCCAUGGUCUGCAGUGCAGCCCUUAGCUUUGGGGCAGAGAAGAUCCCUUUUGGCAGGACUGACUCACAUUAAUCAAACUCACCAAGCGCUGACGUAAAAACUGGAAUGCUAUCUUCCUAUUUUGCAGAGGAGCCUGUGUGCGAGACAAGAUGCUCACACAGGCAGGUCUGGACAGUCCUCUCUCUCCUGGUGUGGGAGUCUGGCAGAAACAACUACAGUGAGAGGUUGCUGGGUGGGCUGGGAUCUGUUGGUGUAUCUCAGUGGCCCAAAGCGAUGAAGGGGUCAGAUGUCCAUGAGAAGAAGGCUCUGCUGGACAUGUAGGUUAGUAGGAGAAAGUACGUAUUCUUCAACUCAAAGCUUAUUUCAGAGCAUAACAUGUAAACACUGAUAAACUUGGAACUGCUCUGAGUCGGGGGAGAGGGAAGCCCACCCCCAGGGAGCUCCAGGGAGCAGCUGGAACACUUCUGGCCUCUUAGCAACUUUCUGAGGUGUCCCUGGCCAAUGGCAGCUGGCCUGCCUGACACUUCUGGGGAGGGAAGCUGGGCCGGAGAGCUGCUUGUUGCAGGAGCGUUCAGUAUGAGGAGGGUGGCAUUUCUGAUAAAGGGCCCGAGGUCAGCUGGGGAGGGUGUGGUUAAUCUCUGGAUAGCCAGAGAUCCUGGUACCCUAACACCUGGAUAGGGGACAUCACAGAUGAAGUCUGCUACCCAAAGGCCGAUUUACGUCUGACCACCCCCUGCCCAAAAUUCUACUGUGUAGUCAUUUUUUAGAUUUCGGUACUAUGGUCCUAUAAGGCCCCUUUGGAAAUGCAGAUCUACCUAAAGAGGAAUAACCCAGUAUUCCUGAAAUUUUUGAGGGGCCGGCCCCAUGGCGGAGUGGUUAAGUUCUUGCGCUCCG